AACAACCGAAGCUCGCGAGCCUUGUCCUGGCUUCCCAAAUCGAAGGUCUGAGAGAAGGAUGCAAACAACCCAAACCAGGAGGAGUGGGACGGCGAGGCUGUUAGGGACAGCAUCCAGGGGCUCUUAGGUCUGCAGCUCCUGGACAGUCCGUUUCUGGCAUCCACUCCAAUCCGCCCGGACAGGCAGCUGAGAUUCCCAGAAGCACGGUGUGGCUCCAACCCGGAACAGGCUGAGUGCCUGCGCACUCAUGGGCUCGCCAAGUCCCUCCAGAAGGGCCCACGAUCUCAGACCAGCAUUAGCCCAACGGCGCCAGAGCACACAAGAGCCACGGCGUGGCGGGAACGUCCAGAGCUGCCCGGAUUUCAAACUCUCCGAAGCCCGUGCUGCUCUAGUUUCCGGGGUGGGGACAAACAGUGACUCCCCUUUCGACCUUCCCGCGCUCCAAGCUCCUCCAAGUGCGUCCGAGGCAGCCCCGGGCCAGGUCCUCAACCCACCGAGGGGCUAGCCUGGGGUUCCCACAGAGCACCUCCACUCAGCCUACCGAGCAGUCCGACUCCCAAAGAUGUCCUCGCUACCCCACCCUGAGACGUAAACUUUUGAACGCACACCUCACUCCUCCGGAGAGAAAAACAAGGUUGAUGAUAGUGACAGCGAACGGCUACCGAGCGCGCUGCGCUUUGUAACCGCGAAGGUGGGACUGCGCUUACUCCCACGUUGCGGGAAGAAGGCUGAGGCUCUGAGGACCGAGCAGUCUGGCCAGCAGGACACGUGGUCAGAGGAGAGCCUGAAGGGUCGACGCUAGAGCGUUUACUGUGUUAACCUCGGAGUUUUACGAGAACGUUUGCGGAUUACAGAGGGAGAAACUGAGGCGUGGUCGUGCCGCUGGUGGGUGGUAGAGCCGGGAGUCAUUAACAGGGGAAACUUCCAUCUAGCCGGUGCUUUCUCCACUUCCUUCUGGAUGCCUGUCAUGCUCCAUCCCGAACGUGAUUCCGACGCCCUGAGUUGUUUCUAAUUGCUUUAAUUUAUAUGCCUGCUUCCUGAAAAGAUUGUAAUCUUACUGUGCAGAACUUGUAGGAAGCGUCCAGUGAGGCCGUGCUGAAGGCAGGCUGAACAGCUCAGGGGUUGUGAGAAGUCAUGGUUUCCUACCUCCAAGCCCAAGGGUCAGCGCCUGGACCAGGGUCUCAGCGGCCGUCCCUUCUCAGCUUUGAGCCUCUCUGCCUUCCCACCAGUUCUUGCUUCAGUGGCCUCACCCUGCUAUUAAAUCAUUUAUUAUUAUAAUAACA